rnacentral:rRNA from 1 species
CAGUCGAACGCGUCUCCGUUGAUGAUUUUAGGUGCUUGCACUUGAAAGAUUUAACAUUGAGACGAGUGGCGAACUGGUGAGUAACACGUGGGUAACCUGCCCUUGAAGUAGGGGAUAACACUUGGAAACAGGUGCUAAUACCGUAUAACAACCAAAACCACCUGGUUUUGGUUUAAAAGACGGCUUCGGCUGUCACUUUAGGAUGGACCCGCGGCGUAUUAGCUUGUUGGUAAGGUAACGGCCUACCAAGGCGAUGAUACGUAGCCGACCUGAGAGGGUAAUCGGCCACAUUGGGACUGAGACACGGCCCAAACUCCUACGGGAGGCAGCAGUAGGGAAUCUUCCACAAUGGACGAAAGUCUGAUGGAGCAACGCCGCGUGAGUGAUGAAGGGUUUCGGCUCGUAAAACUCUGUUGUUGGAGAAGAACAGGUGUCAGAGUAACUGUUGACAUCUUGACGGUAUCCAACCAGAAAGCCACGGCUAACUACGUGCCAGCAGCCGCGGUAAUACGUAGGUGGCAAGCGUUGUCCGGAUUUAUUGGGCGUAAAGCGAGCGCAGGCGGUUUUUUAGGUCUGAUGUGAAAGCCUUCGGCUUAACCGGAGAAGUGCAUCGGAAACCGGGAGACUUGAGUGCAGAAGAGGACAGUGGAACUCCAUGUGUAGCGGUGAAAUGCGUAGAUAUAUGGAAGAACACCAGUGGCGAAGGCGGCUGUCUGGUCUGUAACUGACGCUGAGGCUCGAAAGCAUGGGUAGCGAACAGGAUUAGAUACCCUGGUAGUC